AAGGGUGUAGCUCAGUGGCAGAGCACGUGCUUGGCAUGCACGAGGUCCUGGGUUCAAUCCCCAGUACCUCCA
rnacentral:tRNA from 1 species